AAUCUAAAUAGAGGUUGAUUUUAUCAGACUAUAUAUGACAGAUUAAAAAUGAUCGAACUGUUUUAGUCUCGUAUCAUCGGUGAUAUAUAUAUAUUAAUAAUAAGCGUUACUAUUAACAGUAUACUAUUUUCAUUUUAUAUCGACAAAACUAAACCGUUUUUUCUGAUUACUUAAAUACAAUUACAAUGAAAAAAUUACUGUCAAUUUUUAUACUAAUUGCUAUUGUGACUGCAUAUGUUGUGAGUGUCGACAAUAAAAACUGUAUUCCUAGAGGUGAAAAAUGUUACCGACCUAACGAAUGUUGCGAAGGACUGUUUUGUUUAUUUUACGCUAGAAGAUGUGUGCUCGGAAGAAAUAUUCUUGAGAACAGAAGAUUCAUUCGUACAUAGAAUUAUACUUUUAUAAACUCAAGUUUUCAUAUAAAUAAAUAAAUGAAAUUGUAAUUUAAAACGGUUGCUAAGGAAAAAAACGGUCAUGGUAACGGUUACUGUAUGGUACCGGUAACAAUUGUACCGGUUACUAUAUGGUUCCGGUUACUAUGGUGCCGGUUACUAUAUGGUUCCGGUUACUAUGGUGCCGGUUACUAUAUGGUUCCGGUUACUAUGGUGCCGGUUACUAUAUGGUACCGGUAACUAUUGUACCGGUUACUAUAAGGUUCCGGUUACUAUGGUGCCCGUUACUAUAUGGUUCCAGUUACUAUGGUGCCGGUUACUAUAUGGUACCGGUAACUAUUGUACCGGUUACUAUAUGGUUCCGGUUACUAUGGUGCCGGUUACUAUAUGGUUCCGGUUACUAUGGUGCCGGUUACUAUAUGGUACCGGUUACUAUAUGGUUCCGGUUACUAUGGUGCCCGUUACUAUAUGGUUCCAGUUACUAUGGUGCCGGUUACUAUAUGGUACCGGUAACUAUUGUACCGGUUACUAUAUGGUUCCGGUUACUAUGGUGCCGGUUACUAUAUGGUUCCGGUUACUAUGGUGCCGGUUACUAUAUGGUACCGGUUACUAUAUGGUUCCGGUUACUAUGGUGCCCGUUACUAUAUGGUUCCAGUUACUAUGGUGCCGGUUACUAUAUGGUUCCGGUUACUAUGGUGCCGGUUACUAUAUGGUACCGGUAACUAUUGUACCGGUUACUAUAAGGUUCCGGUUACUAUGGUGCCCGUUACUAUAUGGUUCCAGUUACUAUGGUACCGGUUACUAUGGUACCGGUUACUAUAUGGUUUCGGUUGCUAUGGUACCGGUUGCUAUGGUAACUGUUGCUAUUGUAACUGUUGUCAUGGUAACGCUUAUCUUGGAAACGGUUGCUCUGGUUUUUUUUUAUUAUUCAAAUAUAAUACAAAAUUGUAAUCUCCGAAUCUGAAAUAAAUAAAUCAUUUUUUGAA